rnacentral:rRNA from 1 species
GACGAACGCUGGCGGCGUGCCUAAUACAUGCAAGUCGAACGAGAGCGACCGGUGCUUGCACUGGUCAAUCUAGUGGCGAACGGGAGAGUAACACGUGGGUAACCUACCCAUCAGAGGGGGAUAACAUCCGGAAACGGAUGCUAAAACCGCAUAGGUCUUCGAGCCGCAUGGCUUGAAGAGGAAAAGAGGCGCAAGCUUCUGCUGAUGGAUGGACCCGCGGUGCAUUAGCUAGUUGGUGAGGUAACGGCUCACCAAGGCCGUGAUGCAUAGCCGACCUGAGAGGGUGAUCGGCCACAUUGGGACUGAGACACGGCCCAAACUCCUACGGGAGGCAGCAGUAGGGAAUCUUCCGCAAUGGACGCAAGUCUGACGGAGCAACGCCGCGUGAGUGAAGAAGGUUUUCGGAUCGUAAAACUCUGAUGUUAGAGAAGAAC